CCAAUAUAGUUUUCAUUAUGGAAACUAAAAACUCAGAACAGAAAGUGCUCAGAAUAAAAAGGAGGCUAAAUUUCCAAAACAGUUAUAUAGUCAAUCCGGAGGGAAUAGCAGGGGGCUUAGCUCUAUUCUGGGAUGAUCAUCUGCAGGUAUCGAUUGACUCCUCCUCAGCCACGGCCAUAUUUACACAAUGUCACCUGAAAAACAGCAACCAGAAAAUGAAAGUUAUUUUCGUCCAUGCUCCAACUGUAUUUAGGGAAAGAAUUGAGUUAUGGGAACAGAUCUCCUCAGUCAGUAUGCAUUACCGAAUACCUUGGUUGUGCUUGGGAGAUUUUAACGAGAUAUUAAAUCACUAGGAGAAAGUAGGCAAACACAGAGCUGAAACUUACAGGCUAACUGCUUUCAGAAGCUUCGUUAAUCAAUGCUCCCUCAUGGAUCU
rnacentral:lncRNA from 1 species